GAACGCUAGCUACAGGCUUAACACAUGCAAGUCGAGGGGCAUCAGUUUGGUUUGCUUGCAAACCAAAGCUGGCGACCGGCGCACGGGUGAGUAACGCGUAUCCAACCUGCCCAUCACUUGGGGAUAACCUUGCGAAAGUAAGACUAAUACCCAAUGACGUCUCUAGAAGACAUCUGAAGGAGAUUAAAGAUUUAUCGGUGAUGGAUGGGGAUGCGUCUGAUUAGCUUGUUGGCGGGGUAACGGCCCACCAAGGCGACGAUCAGUAGGGGUUCUGAGAGGAAGGCCCCCCCACAUUGGAACUGAGACACGGUCCAAACUCCUACGGGAGGCAGCAGUGAGGAAUAUUGGUCAAUGGACGAGAGUCUGAACCAGCCAAGUAGCGUGCAGGAUGACGGCCCUAUGGGUUGUAAACUGCUUUUAUAAGGGAAUAAAGUGAGUCUCGUGAGACUUUUUGCAUGUACCUUAUGAAUAAGGACCGGCUAAUUCCGUG
rnacentral:rRNA from 1 species